UUCGUGAGACAAAAAGAAGCCU
rnacentral:miRNA from 1 species